rnacentral:tRNA from 1 species
AAGGAUUUAAGUUAAAUAAAAACUCGUAGCCUUCAAAGCUGCUAAUAAAGAUCCUCUUUAAGCCUUG